GCGGAUGUGGCGUAAUUGGUAAACGCGUUAGAUUCAGGUUCUAAUAGAUAUUUUGUCUGUGCAAGUUCAAGUCUUGUCAUCCGCACCA
rnacentral:tRNA from 1 species